GAUGAACGCUGGCGGCGUGCUUAACACAUGCAAGUCGAACGAAGCAUUUAAGACAGAUUACUUCGGUUUGAAGUCUUUUAUGACUGAGUGGCGGACGGGUGAGUAACGCGUGGGUAACCUGCCUCAUACAGGGGGAUAGCAGCUGGAAACGGCUGGUAAUACCGCAUAAGCGCACAGUACCACAUGGUACAGUGUGAAAGACUCCGGUGGUAUGAGAUGGACCCGCGUCUGAUUAGCUUGUUGGCGGGGUAACGGCCCACCAAGGCGACGAUCAGUAGCCGACCUGAGAGGGUGACCGGCCACAUUGGGACUGAGACACGGCCCAGACUCCUACGGGAGGCAGCAGUGGGGAAUAUUGCACAAUGGAGGAAACUCUGAUGCAGCGACGCCGCGUGAGUGAAGAAGUAGUUCGCUAUGUAAAGCUCUAUCAGCAGGGAAGAUAGUGACGGUACCUGACUAAGAAGCUCCGGCUAAAUACGUG
rnacentral:rRNA from 1 species